CAGGACGAACGCUGGCGGCGUGCCUAACACAUGCAAGUCGAGCGAGGAGAUCCUCGGGAUGAUCCUAGCGGCGGACGGGUGAGUAACACGUGGGCAACCUGCCUCAUAGAGAGGAAUAGCCUUCCGAAAGGGAGAUUAAUACCUCAUAACAUUGCAGUUUCGCAUGGAACAGCAAUUAAAGGAGUAAUCCGCUAUGAGAUGGGCCCGCGGCGCAUUAGCUAGUUGGUGAGGUAACGGCUCACCAAGGCGACGAUGCGUAGCCGACCUGAGAGGGUGAUCGGCCACAUUGGGACUGAGACACGGCCCAGACUCCUACGGGAGGCAGCAGUGGGGAAUAUUGCACAAUGGGGGAAACCCUGAUGCCAGCAACGCCGCGUGAGUGAUGACGGCCUUCGGGUUGUAAAGCUCUGUCUUCAGGGACGAUAAUGACGGUACCUGAGGAGGAAGCCACGGCUAACUACGUGCCAGCCGCGGC
rnacentral:rRNA from 1 species